rnacentral:rRNA from 3 species
GGACUGCGGAAGGAUCAUUA